rnacentral:rRNA from 1 species
UACGGAGGGUGCGAGCGUUGUCCGGAAUCAUUGGGCGUAAAGGGCGCGUAGGCGGCAGAUUAAGUCAGCUGUGAAAUCUCCGAGCUUAACUCGGAACUGUCAGCUGAUACUGUUUUGCUAGAGUGCGGAAGGGGCAAUCGGAAUUCUUGGUGUAGCGGUGAAAUGCGUAGAUAUCAAGAGGAACACCUGAGGUGAAGACGGGUUGCUGGGCCGACACUGACGCUGAGUGCGCGAAAGCCAGGGGAGCAAACGGG